UAAGCGGAGGAAAAGAAACUAACAAGGAUUCCCCUAGUAACGGCGAGUGAAGUGGGAAAAGCUCAACUUUGUAAUCUGGCAGCUUCGCUGUCCGAGUUGUAGUCUCGAGAAAUGUUUUCCGCGCUGGCAUGUGUAUGAGUCUGUUGGAAUACAGCGUCAUAGAGGGUGAGAACCCCGUUCAUGACACAUCUCCCAGUGCUUUGUGAUACAUUUUCGAUGAGUCGAGUUGUUUGGGAAUGCAGCUCAAAAUGGGUGGUAAAUUCCAUCUAAAGCUAAAUAUUGGCGAGAGACCGAUAGCAAACAAGUACCGUGAGGGAAAGAUGAAAAGCACUUUGGAAAGAGAGUUAAAAGUACGUGAAAUUGUUGAAAGGGAAACGCUUGAAGUCAGACGUGCGCAGCGCAAUUCAGCUCUACCUCGGUAGAGUGUACUUUGUGCUAUUGCAGGCCAGCAUCGGUUUUGCGAGCCGGAUAAAGGUUAGUGGAAGGUAGCAUCUUCGGGUGUGUUAUAGCCUCUAACUGAAUACGGAUUGCGAGACCGAGGGACGCAGCACGGCGCAAGCCAGAGGGUUCGCCCUCUUCGUGCUUAGGAUGCUGGUGAAAUGGCUUUAAACGACCCGUCUUGAAACACG
rnacentral:rRNA from 1 species